rnacentral:rRNA from 1 species
AUUGUUACGGCCGCGGUAUCAUGACCGUGCGAGGUAGCGUAAUCACUUGUCUUUUAAAUAGAGACUGGAAUGAACGGCUAAACGAGGCUCUACCUGUCUCUUACGGGUAAUCAGUGAAAUUGAUCUUCUCGUGCAAAAGCGAGAAUAACAACAUAAGACGAGAAGACCCUGUGGAACUUUAAAUAACAGCUAAUUAACCAAUAAACUAAUAAACCAUACGGACUACAUACCACUAUUCUUUUAGCUUUAAUUUUCGGUUGGGGUGACCUCGGAGAAAAACAGAACCUCCGAAAAACUUUACUAAGAGAGACAAACCAAAGUGCCUCCGGCUAAGCGAUCCAAUACAUUUGAUCAAUGAACCAAGCUACCCCAGGGAUAACAGCGCAAUCCCCUCUUAGAGUCCCUAUCAACGAUGGGGGUUUACGACCUCGAUGUGGAUCAAGAC